CAAGUUUCCACAUUUGCUGAUUGAGGU
rnacentral:piRNA from 1 species